GACGAACGCUGGCGGCGUGCCUAAUACAUGCAAGUCGAGCGAACAGACCAUGAGCUUGCUCCUCUGACGUUAGCGGCGGACGGGUGAGUAACACGUGGAUCACCUACCUAUAAUACUGGUAUCACUUCGAAACACCGGCGCUAAUACCGUAUAAUAUAUUGAACCGCAUGGUUCGAUAGUGAAAGACGGUUUUGCUGUCACUUAUAGAUGGAUCCCCGCCGCAUUAGCUAGUUGGUAAGGUAACGGCUUACCAAGGCAACGAUGCGUAGCCGAACUCAGAGGGGGGUCGGCGACCCUGGAACGGGGACGGGGUCAAUGCUACUGCGGGAGGCAGCAGUAGGGAAUCUGAGGCAAUGGGCGAAAGCCUGACGGAGCAACGCCGCGUGAGUGAUGAAGGUCUCCGGUUCGUAAAGCUCUGUUAUUAGGGAAGAACAAAUGUGGAAGUAACUAUGCACGUCUUGACGGUAAUUAAUCAGAAAGCAACGGCUAACUACGUG
rnacentral:rRNA from 1 species